GAUCCCAAUCGAUUCAGAUUUACAAGGCAAACCACAUUUGGAAGGCGGCACAUGAGUUCUUGUACGGGAACACCGUUUCAGCUCUGGAUUAAAUGUUUCUUCAGACAAUUCUUCCAUUCCGUAGCAAAAGUUGAUUAUCUCACUUUGAGACAUGGUUUCAUCUCGGCUCACCUGUCGGCCAGUAACAACUUCGAUUUCCGAAAAUAUAUAA